AUUGGACGCUGGCGGAAUGCUUUACACAUGCAAGUCGAACGGUAGAGGGGGCAACCCCUCGAGAGUGGCGAACGGGUGAGUAAUAUAUCGGAACGUGCCCAGUCGAGGGGGAUAACGUAGCGAAAGUUGCGCUAAUACAGCAUACGAUCUAAGGAUGAAAGUGGGGGAUCGCAAGACCUCGCGCGAUUCGAGCGGCCGAUACCAGAUUAGGUAGUUGGUGGGGUAAAGGCUCACCAAGCCAACGAUCUGUAGCUGGUCUGAGAGGACGACCAGCCACACUGGAACUGAGACACGGUCCAGACUCCUACGGGAGGCAGCAGUGGGGUAUUUUGAACAAUGGACGCAAGUCUGAUCCAGCCAUUCCGCGUGCAGGAUGAAGGCCCUCGGGUUGUAAGCUGCUUUUGUACGGAACGAAAAGGUCUCUCUUAAUACGGGGGACUCAUGACGGUACCGUAAGAAUAAGCACCGGCUAACUACGUGCCAGCCGCCGCAGUAA
rnacentral:rRNA from 1 species